UGUUGUUCUCCACACUGAUGCCAUUCACAGGGGUGGUGGUCAGGUCAUCCCAACGGCCAGGAGGGUCAUUUAUGCUUCUCAGCUCACUGCCAAGCCAAGGCUGCUGGAGCCCGUCUACCUGGUUGAGAUCCAGGCCCCGGAGAAUGCACUUGGUGGCAUCUAUGGUGUUCUGAACCAGAAGAGAGGGCACGUGUUCGAGGAGAUGCAGAGGCAAGGUACCCCGCUCUACAACAUCAAGGCCUACCUCCCCGUCAUCGAGUCCUUUGGGUUCUCAAGCACCCUGAGGGCCGCGACCUCCGGCCAGGCCUUCCCCCAGUGUGUGUUUGACCACUGGGACAUCAUGGCUUCUGAUCCUUUGGACCCGGGCACCCAGUCGGCGACGCUUGUCACGGAGAUCCGCAAGAGGAAGGGUCUCAAGGAGCAGAUGACCCCUCUAUCUGAUU
rnacentral:lncRNA from 1 species